rnacentral:tRNA from 1 species
GGGGUCGUAGUUCAGUUGGUUAGAACGCAGGCCUGUCACGCCUGAGGUCGCGAGUUCGAGUCUCGUCGGCCCCGCCA